rnacentral:rRNA from 1 species
GGGUUGUGAGGUUAAGCGACUAAGCGUACACGGUGGAUGCCCUGGCAGUCAGAGGCGAUGAAGGGCGUGCUAAUCUGCGAUAAGCGCCGGUAAGGUGAUAUGAACCGUUAUAACCGGCGAUACCCGAAUGGGGAAACCCAGUGUGAUUCGUCACACUAUCAUUAACUGAAUCCAUAGGUUAAUGAGGCGAACCGGGGGAACUGAAACAUCUAAGUACCCCGAGGAAAAGAAAUCAACCGAGAUUCCCCCAGUAGCGGCGAGCGAACGGGGAGGAGCCCAGAGCCUGAAUCAGCAUGUGUGUUAGUGGAAGCGUCUGGAAAGGCGCGCGAUACAGGGUGACAGCCCCGUACACAAAAGCGCAUGUGCUGUGAGCUCGAUGAGUAGGGCGGGACACGUGGUAUCCUGUCUGAAUAUGGGGGGACCAUCCUCCAAGGCUAAAUACUCCUGACUGACCGAUAGUGAACCAGUACCGUGAGGGAAAGGCGAAAAGAACCCCGGCGAGGGGAGUGAAAAAGAACCUGAAACCGUGUACGUACAAGCAGUGGGAGCCCCACCACCAAAGCAUUCUCUGGUGUUGAAGGCCCUGCAAAGCAGCAUCGCGGUGGCGGAGCGUCGUUUGCGACGCCCAACACACAAAACAAGCGGUGAGUGCUUUGGGGUGGGGUGACUGCGUACCUUUUGUAUAAUGGGUCAGCGACUUAUAUUCUGUAGCAAGGUUAACCGAAUAGGGGAGCCGUAGGGAAACCGAGUCUUAACCGGGCGUUAAGUUGCAGGGUAUAGACCCGAAACCCGGUGAUCUAGCCAUGGGCAGGUUGAAGGUUGGGUAACACUAACUGGAGGACCGAACCGACUAAUGUUGAAAAAUUAGCGGAUGACCUGUGGCUGGGGGUGAAAGGCCAAUCAA